CGGGAUAGCCCUGGAUAAAGUCUGUCUGGCCGUGUUAACAAGCAUCAUGAGUGGCCUUUUCUGUGACAGCAUGCCCUGAGCAGGCGCAAUAGCAGAGCUGAGGAUGGAGGCGGUGCUCGUGACCAUGGAGGGGUGGGCGGGGUGGGAAGGGAGCUCAGCAGGGCAAAGGAUCUGCUGGCAGAGGAGCACAGAAACAGUAAAGCUGCCGUUCAGGAGGCUCAGAGCCCUGGGACCCAUCACAGGAUUGCUCUCCUGCCCCUCAUUUUCUCCACGCCCCACCAGCCUCGGCGCAGUGUUGCACAUCAUCGUAACCUGCCGGAGCGCGAUGUUCGUGGUGAACUCCCCUCCAUCUCCCGGGAUCUGUCACGCGCAGUUCAUGCCAGAAGUGACCUCCUCCAUCAGACACUUGGGGCCCUGCAGCCGCAGCGGGGCGGAGGGCAUGGGGGUCAUGAGUUCCGGCCUCAGGGUCCUGUGGGCACCACCGCCGGCAGCGCUGGGGGAUGCUGAGUCUGCCGGUUCUCCUCGGCCUUUGUUAAGGGGGGGGUGCUCUUACCCCUGCUUCUGCCUCCUCCUCUCCCCGCAGUCCUCUUUCUUCAAGGGGGACCUGCUCUGUUCACUAUAAAUACCUACAGGUCACUUUCACCAGAUGUGGGCCUUUUUUUUUAAGUAAAAUUAUGUGUGUUUGAAUACCAACCCACAUUUUGGAAACACAAAUUCUAAUCUUUUCAGUACAAGGUAAGCUGUUCCAGUUUUUGAAAAUUGGAUUUCAAGGUGGGGGAGGGGCAACAGAAGCGCUUGGGGUGCUCCCCCACAACACAGCUUCUGGGAUCCCCGCCCCCACCUCCACCUGGGCCCUGCCCUGUCACCUGCCUGGCUGGUGAUCAGCACUAAGAUGAGCCACACAGACACAGGGAAGCAGAUGGGGGCUGGGGACCAUGCUCACAGGGAUUCCUAGUGAAGGAAAAAGUGAGGGAUAGCAGCCGCCCUGCCCUCGGGGCGAGGGAGGGGAGAGGCAGGAGGUGGGCUUGACCAAACACAGCGGGGACUGGUGGGGGGGGAGGCGGGAGGCUGGGGUGGGGGCUGGAUGUGGAGUCCUCCGAGGUCAGGAGGCUGGGCUCCUCCUGUUUGUCCAUAUGCAUUUCUGGCCCCUUCCCCUCCAGCCCUGAGGGAAGCCAUCCCGCAGAGAGGCAGUUCCAGGUGCAGGUGGGCCACCUCCUCGCCCUGCACGUCCUGUCCCCGGGCUGCUGCUCUGCAUGCUGCUGCUGGGGGCUGCCCUCUCCCUGGCCCACCCUGCCGAGGGGCUCGCUGCCAGGCUCUGGGGAGGCAGGAUCUGGUGCCACAGCUGCCGGGCGUCAAGGGCAGCGGGCUGUCCUGGUAAGCAAGGGCUGACAAAGGGCCUUGCAGCAGCAGCACCAGAGGUUGGUGAGGACGAGGUCGGGACCAGAAUGAACGCUCCUCAUGCAUUCAUUUAUCAGAGUCACUGAGUCCCCUUGGCCUGCCCCAGGGCCAGCGCUGGUUGCUGGGGACAGAGAUGUGGACCAGCCCACCUGGGUCCCCUGCCUCCAGGGGGGCAAGCGGGGUAACUAAGACAUGCAUGUGCAAAUCCACAAAAGUGUCACCUCCUCCGAGAAGCCCUCCCUGACCCCCUUCCCUCCUCCCUGACUGAGGUGGCUGUUGCCCCAGUGAAGAGGGAAUCAGACUGCCCAGGUUCAAGCUCUGGCUCCGCCUCUUGCUGGCCAUAGGCCCAGGCGAGUCACUCCACCACCGAGCCCCAGUUUCCUCGUCUGUAACAGAGGGGUAACAAGAUUACAUAUGUCGUAGACUUAUUGUGAGCGUUAAAGGAAAUCCACAGGAUGGCUCCUGGGAGGGAGGAAUACUUUCAGCAGCCACAGACCGGCUUUCAGGAGAGGCACAGUGAGCAGGAACGGCUGGCCCGCAUUCUGGAAGAAAAGGUGGAGCUGGAAACAGAAGCCCCCAGGCUCACCCAGUGGGCAGGGAGCAGAUGUGAAGGACUAGGCCACCCAAGUCACCAGGACACGAUAAAUAGCUGCCCCCUCGUAAAGAGUAUAAAGAGUACCAGGUGACCCGAGACCUCUGGGGUAGAAUUUCUGGCAGGAUUCUGCCUCUAUAAAUAGCCUCGAGACAGGGCGGGCCUGCCCUGUUCCCCAGAGAGGCAGGCGGGCAGGAGCUGCAGGGGCGGUGGUUGCCACGCUGGACAAAGGCCCAGGAGGCUGGGGAGCAGGGGGCGUGCUCGCUGCGGGCCCCUGGGGACAUCUGAUCCAGGCUGGGGCUGUGUCUGCAUCUGGGUGACCUCAGGGCCAAGUGGCUGUCCGUGAGAAUUCCCAGGUGAGUUUGUUUCUUAAAAGCAUGAAUUAGAGCUGGGGACCAUAGGAGGCAAACGGAGGCAACUUAGAGGGUUCCCACCCUCUGCCAAGAACUUGGGAGCACAUAGGACAUACAAGAUAAGGGCCGUUCUUGGGAGGGCUUUUUUCCUCCCAAAUUAUUUCCCCAAAUAAUUCACUGGGGAAACAGGGGAGAAAGGGAGGCAGAUCAGCCCAGACUUUCCCAGUCUUCCUCCGGCCAAGACCCGGUGAGCAGACCCUCCCGGGACAGCGCCACCUUGUGUGUUUGCAGGUGGCUAGACGACAAGGGGCCCCUGCGCUUCCCUGGAGGGCUGGCCUGCGCCAUCGUUGGGGGCUCCCCCAGCCACUUGCCCUUCUCCUUCAGGAAUCUCAGGGCUUCCAGGGAUCCCUAACACAGCUCCUCCAGGUCCUGCAGGUAAGUGACACCACGGGUAAGGUGGUUCCCCUCUCGGUGCCUGCUUCCCUCAUCCUCACUAAUGGGGACGAGAACAAAUUCUGCCCUCUGGGGCUGUCCUGAGAAUCCACACAGUGACAGUGAUUCCCCGGGGCUCAGCAGCAGCCAGUCUGCUCCCCUGUCCCUGGGGAUGUGCGGCAAGGUCUGGAGACAGUUUUGGUUGUACGACUUUGCGGGGAGGGUCCUACUGUUUGCAUCUAGCGGUGGGAGAUCAGAGAUGCCACUCAACAUCCUCCAGUGCACAGGACGGCCCCACAGCAAAGUCAUCUGGCCCCAAAUGUCAGUGGUGCUGAGGUUGGGAAAUCCUGAUCAACUUCGACCAAUACUAGCCGUGACUGUCAUCUUCCUUCUGAAUCCCCGGGGACCUCCCGGCGGGGGCCCAGAACCAGCAUUCAGGCCAGCGCCGCUUGGUUUCUGAGGAGCUUUCCUCAAGUCCCCUCGGUCCUGUCUCACAGCAUCCCUGCGAGGGAGGGCGUAUUCUCCUCACUUUAUUUUUUCACGAUUUAAAAGAAAAUGUUCAAAUCCACAGAAAAGUUGAAAAGACAAGAACAGUGAACACCUGCAGCCUUUCAUUGGGUUUACAGACUGUUAACUCUUGUUGAUUUGCCUGUGUACUCUCUCUCUCCACACACACAUAGUGGGGAACGUAUUAUAUUUAUCUUUUACUAAUAAAAAUUUAUGUUUUUACUAAUCCAUUUAUUUUUCACCAAUCCAUUUGAAAUUAUAGUCAGCACACGCCACCCCCAAGGACUCAGCAUGUAUUUCCUGAGAAUGAGGACAUUCUCCACAUUGCCACAACCCAGGGAAGUUUAACGUCAGUCCCACACCAUCAACUGAGAGAUGGUCCAUGUUCAAAUUUCUCUCAUUGUCCCGAAACGUCUCAUAGCUCUUGUCUCAAAUGUUUUGCCUGCUGGGUUUUUUUUCCUUUCCCUUUUUGGAAGUGCGGGUCCAUUGUCCGGCAGCAGGUUCCCUGUUCUGGAUUUGUCUGAUUGCUUCCCCAUGACAGGAUUCAGGUUAAAGGUCUUUGCUGAGAAGCCGCAGAGUGAACCUGAACUUUGCACCAUAUGGAGCGAGGAGGCUGCUGUUGGACUGUCUCCAGGGUCAUCAGAGAUGCCCGGGGUGACCACCUGGUCCAGGCAGGACCGCGGGGCCCAUCGAUAUUCAAGGCAUCGUCUUCCCUUUGUAAUUGGCGGGUAAUCAAUGGGGCGAUCCUUGGAGACCCUGUCUCUGUCCCCCAACCACGUUUCACUCUGUGGUUCAUCACCAUCGAUGACCCCUGUCCAUGUCCAUUAUUUCAUUGUGGGGUACAUAGCAGUGGUUUAAUCUUUUCUAACCCUGCUAUUCCUUCUGUGUUUAUUGGCCACCAUUUUGUAAACAAGUGCUUUUCUUUCCCCUCUCUUCUUUAUUUCUAUCACUACACACCCACGCGAUUUUAAAAAAUCAACAUGUCCCUCUCUGUUACCAUCUAUAGGCCAUGCUGUUCCCCAGCUGAUCCCUUUCAGUACAAAUGGCCCCCUGUUCCCGUGAGUGUUGGCAGCCGAAAGGUCAGGUUACCGCCUUCUCCAGCAAAUGUUCUUUGCUAUCUGACAGGGGCCGCCUCACCCAGGAAGUUACACAUCCCCACAGUGGGACAGCCAGUGGUCAGCGACUGACCGACAAAGGAUACAAAAGAUCAGCUGCCAUGGCAAUUGUUCCAGGCUGAUGAUACUGUUCUGCAUCUUGACAGAAGGGACAUUUGGAGACAGAAAAGCAGGAGUGGAAGAGAAAGCCGAGCGCAGCGGAGGGAUGCUACAUAAAGACGACGGUGACCGUGGACAGAGGUUUCCCUCCUGUGCCAGGCAUAUCUGUCACCCGGAGCUUCUCACCUAGUUUUGCAAUAACCACAUGGGGUGUGGUGUCACGUCCACUUCACAGGUGAGGAAUCAAGCAUCUUGCCCAAGACCUGACAGGUAACAAGUGGCAGAGGUAGAACGCCCUGAGGCUGGCAACUUCCUUGCGCUACCAUAGAAAGAGGGUCCCUAUUUAUUUCCCCUGGAUGUCCCCAAACAAAGGCGUGACAUUCCAAGAGAGCCACUCCCCUCUUCUGGCCAAGAGCCAUGGCUGUGAACCACUGAGGAGUGGAAGGGAGUCCCUGGCACCAUCCUUUGCCCCCUCACAUGCCCACCUCUCCCUCCCCACCCCAUCCAGCAGGCCCCGGCCUUGCCCUGGGUCAGGCUCCUCCUCUUGCUGAGGGUCUCCCUGCUCAGAGCAUCGUGCCUGCCUCCCCAUCACCUCACAGCACAGUCUGGCCAAAGCAGAACAAGCUGGGGGCGGGGGGCCGUCUCUCCUCCCCGCACCUGCGGACUUGGAGGACGAGGCCCCAUCGUACUCGUUUUGUACAAUGGCAGCUCUCACUUCAACAGGCAAAGGGCGGUUUUGAGGAAUGUGUCCUGGUUCCGUAAGAGGUUGAGCUCAGGGGCGCUGUGUGAAGGGUCCGUGAAAACUCUCUACUGUCUUUGCCACUUUUAUUUAAAUCUGAAGUUAUUCAAAAUUAAAAGUUUAUGAAAAGAAAGAAAAAGGCAGAAUUCAGUGAAGACUGAAGAAGCCCAGGGAGCCGCAGCCCGUGGAGGACGGGCUCCAGCCACAUGGAUGCUGCCCGACCAGCUUUCCCAAGGCUCCGGAGUGGGAUGGAGCAGAGCGGCAGAGGAAGAGCCCAAGAAACGCAGUGUCCAACCCAGGCAGGGACUCCAGCCAGACCCACGGGGCGGAAAAUGGGAUAUUUGCUCGCUCACGAGACACGUUUGGACAGAACUUACUAUGAAAACUUUCACACAUGGGCCAAGUAGAGAGCUGGGUAUCAUGGGCCUCAUGCACCUGUGAGGCCCGCGUGUGUCCUGAGGGGGCUGCUUCUGGGAGCAGGUUAGGGGAAUGGGGGUCUGUUAAUAGAAGCAACACCACUUCACCCUUCUCAUUAGACCUUUUAAACCAUGGCGAGGAGGUGGGGCAGGAAAUCCCCUUGCUCUCGCCAGCCCCUUGCUGUGUGAGGUGGGGCACGCUGCUCUCUGGGUCUCACCUGCCUCAGCUGGAAAUGAGGGGCUUGACCUAGAUGCUUUCCAGACCCCAAAGACAUGUCCAAAGCUGAAUUCGUCACUUGCCCCUACACCUGCUGUGGCUCCCAGGUCCCCAUCUCAGCCAAUGGCACCGCUAUCCGCCCAGUUACUCAGACCAGGAACCUGGGUGUCAUUCAGACUGUUCCCCGCUUUUCACCCCUAGUCUCCUCAGUCACACAAAGAUUCUGCCCUUUCUCCCUCCUAAAUGUUUUCCACCGUGGCCAUCUUAAUCCCUGCCCCAUCCUUGUCAUCAUCAUCUCUUCUGCCUACUGCACUGGUCCCAGCCUCCCAUUGCAUCCUUAUUCUUCUUCCAUGCUGGAGCCAUGUCCAGUGGAGAUCACACUUACAUUAAGAUCUGGACCUUGAUGCCCAAACUUCCAUCUGCUCAGUGUGAAGGAAGGUCUAUUUCCCCAAAUGUUUCUGAGAUUCUCUGUGAGCAUUUACACCCCUGAAAGCCAGUCUCCUUGACAACUCUGUGAGGGACAAAUUUGACUAUGCACCUGCUGGUCUCGCUGGGUUGAGUGUUGUGGCUGCUAUGGGUGACCAAGUGGGGGUCCACACUGCCUGGACAGUAGCUCCCUUGGGGCGCCUCUGCUGUCUAUGUCCCCACUCUUGUCACUUCUGUCCUCAUGGAGCUCUGAUGGCUGAUCAGGCCCGCUGAAUAGCAAGAGCGAGCAUCUUCCUCUGCUCCCGGGGCCUCACAGCCAAGCUGCCUGGGCCCUGAGUGAUACGCCCCUUUAAUUCACCCCCUCCAUUCUCCAGGGCUGCCUGCCUGGAUGCCAGGUCCCCUCAGACGACUUGCUGGGGAGGACGUUUCCAGGGGCCUCCUUUACUCACCUACCAUGUGACCUCUAUUAGGGGUGCCUAUGUCUCUGUGGGCAACAAAACACGGAAUGCCAGGGCCCUCCCAGCCCUUUGGUCCAGCAGUGGUGGGGUGGGCAGGGCUGGCAGGGGCGAUGUCUUGCUCCUGGCUGGCAGCCCUGCGCUCAGGCUUCCACACAGACACCACAUGGAGGAAACGCGCCCAGCGGCGCCCGUGCCUGCCCUCCUCCCGCCUCUCACCACAGCUCCUCCAGAGACAGGAUGGGCAGCCGCAUCCCUGCGGGCAUGCACCCGGCCAGGGGCAGGGCACAGAGGCAGCGCCAGCGAGAACCUGUCCUUACCGGAUCUGCUUGCUUGCAGAUGCCAGGGUUCCUCUGUCAUGCUGGGCUGAACACCUGGGAGGUGGAUCUGCUCCUGACGCCCCAGGCGUGGGAUGGGCAAAGGCAGGCAUCACUCACAUCUGUGGGAGGGAGGCUGGGCUGGCCUCUGUUCCCAGUGUCCACACGGGCAGGCUGACCUUCACUCCCGGCUCCUUGUACCCAAGGGAAGCAGGCUGUUCCACCUCCUCCUGUGAAAAUGACCCAUCCAGGUAGCAGGUCAAGCAUUUAGUCCACAAACUUUCACGAAGCCCCAAUUCCUCCAGGCACAGGUGGAGGCAUGGGACCCACUCCAGUAAACAGCAGGCUUGUUACACCACUUCACCAAGCUUUUAUUUCAUUUUUAUAAGCUUUUAAAAUAGAGCGGGGAGAAAGGCAAACCAGUGGAGGACAACGAUGUUGAGAACGGCCUGCGGAUGGCGGCUGGGCAGCGCCGGGUCUGAAGGCCAGGCUUCCCAACUUGAACAAGCUGAGAAGCCAGUGGGGUCACAUCUGCUCCUUUGUGGCCCAUAUUAUUAAAGCAGGACGAGAUGGGAUGACCACACCAGAAUCGCUGAGAGAGGAGACGUGGCAGCAGGUCAGGUUCUCUGAGCGGCUCUCCAAGGAGGUACCACCGUCUCCUCGGUUCAUCUGUGCUCUCCGGCAAGUCCAAAGUCACCCUCAGAACACCGAGGCUGGACACAACUCCCCCGUGCGCCUGCGGGGCCACACCUUCUCAAGUCCCACGAGCCCGACCAGGAGGGGAUACUGUCUGCUUUGUCCUUUUUUUUUUUUCAUUAAGGUUAUGAAAGUUAACAUCCUUGUGAAAUUGCAGUUGUACAUCAUUAUUAGUCAUGUUGUAGGUACACCACUUCACCCCUAGUGCCCUCCCCCC
rnacentral:lncRNA from 1 species